rnacentral:lncRNA from 1 species
GUUACUUUUUGGCAGGAGAAGAGACAUCAAGGGAAGAAGAAGGCUGUCUUCUGGAGACAGUAGUCACUUACCAUAGAUCACAAGGACUGGAAGCCACGAGUAUGAGGUUUGUACCGAAGCUCUAAAUGCCCACACCAAUCCUUCUUGGU